rnacentral:rRNA from 1 species
ACUCCUACGGGAGGCAGCAGUGGGGAAUUUUGCGCAAUGGGGGAAACCCUGACGCAGCAACGCCGCGUGGAGGAUGAAGUCCCUUGGGACGUAAACUCCUUUCGACCGGGAAGAUACUGACGGUACCGGAUGAAGAAGCACCGGCUAACUACGUGCCAGCAGCCGCGGUAAUACGUAGGGUGCGAGCGUUAAUCGGAAUUACUGGGCGUAAAGCGUGCGCAGGCGGUUUUGUAAGUCAGAUGUGAAAGCCCCGGGCUCAACCUGGGAACUGCGUUUGAAACUACAAGGCUAGAGUGUAGCAGAGGGGGGUAGAAUUCCACGUGUAGCAGUGAAAUGCGUAGAGAUGUGGAGGAAUACCAAUGGCGAAGGCAGCCCCCUGGGUUAACACUGACGCUCAUGCACGAAAGCGUGGGGAGCAAACAGGAUUAGAUACCCUGGUAGUCCACGCCCUAAACGAUGUCUACUAGUUGUUGGGAGAGUAAAAUCUCUUAGUAACGCAGCUAACGCGUGAAGUAGACCGCCUGGGGAGUACGGUCGCAAGAUUAAAACUCAAAGGAAUUGACG